rnacentral:lncRNA from 1 species
CCAUGAUGUUAUGAUGUGGAAUACCAAUAGCAAAGUUACAAAACCAUGACGAUACCUUAUAUGCUCUCUUAACAAAAUCUCAGCACAAAACUGAGUUGUAUCACACUGCAGUUGCUCCACAUCUGUGUUGUGGAGCCUUCUCCCUGGCAUAGCUGUAGCUGAGUUGGCCCUACAUCCGAGUUCUGACUGUUUCUUAUACCUACCUAUAUUCUUUCUUUCAGUACCUCGUUGCUCAUAGUCUCUUGGCUUGCUGUACACACAUCACUCUCUGUACUUCUACUGUGCCAUUUCUUCAGCUACCUUUGUGUUGUUUAUAUACAACACCCUCAUUUACAUUCCAUGUAUCCCAUUGUAACAUUUGUUUUGCAAAUCUUUACAGGAAUUUAGUAUAACUGGGGUAAAAUUGUGUAUAUUUAAGUUAAUGUUUGGGGGUUACAUUAAAUGUAAAUUCCAAAUUAUCUUGAUCACCUGCCUAGGGAAAUAACCAGGAAAAGAGAGAAUCUGGCACCAGAAGCACAAGAUGUCCACACCAUGCCAGCAACACCUUUCUCAGUGAAAUAGCCAAGUGCCAGGAGACACUUCUCUCCUUUUCUUCCAAGGCUUGCCUGCUGUGCUUUGGAAUGCUUGAGAGAAAGCAUGUAAGCAUUUGCACCUGAAGACUGUGCUUCUGUGUCUUGGAGUGAGACACAGAAGCCUGACAACUCUCACAAUGUAAUAUUUUCAGUACUAAAAUAUCACUUCAGAUUGUUUUGAAAAAAAAUAUGAAAAUGGCAAUUAGGUUUCAAUAAGAUUAAAGUCUCUAUAAGGAACUAUUACAAAAUGUUAUCUGGCUAAAUGCAGUACAUUAUGAGGUAGAAAAAGGGGUACUCCAAUUGAUAAAAAAAGAAAAAUCACUUUAAAAAGGCAUUACUAAUUAUGGUGACCAGAACUGUUUGUAGAAGAGGUGUCUGUCAGGGCCCUGAGGGCACUAUUGGUCCAUGACGUUCCUGGCCAGCCUCCCAGUGAGCCUUCCUAACACACGCCCAUGGGCUCAGAACCCCAUUUCAGCUCAGCCUGCGGCAAAAGUAUUACUCUAAGCCCCACAGACUGAAAAAAAAUCAAUGCUGUCUGUUUGAAAGAGAGAUAUCAGCGUUGUUAUGCAGACUCAAUGCAGAAUCAGGAUAAACACCUGUUGAGAAGGACACAUGGUAAGUGUGUGUAAUGGAGAACAUCAACAACAACAAAGAUGCUAUACAGAAAUCCAUAGAACUGUGUUUUCCUAUAAUGGGUAGCCCUCGAGUAAAAGGUCCCUUAGCUGGAUUUUCAAAAACACAUUAGAAACACUUAGAAGUCAUUCCUGGUCUGAGUAAAUGAUUAAACUGUGAUUAAUAAAUGGUGUCAAUUAUGGACAAGAUUAUUGUGUGGUGUAAAUGAGGACUUGACCUUUCCUUUUAGUAAUGAGCUGCUGUUUUGCAACAAUAAAAUAAAUAGAGUUUUGCAGACGGCAAUAUGGCUUCCUCUUGUGGAAGUGAUAAUGUGGAAAGUCUUGUACCAACUAUGUACAUUACUUUCUUUUUCUUUUUCCAUAAAAAGGAAUUUCUUUUUUAUGUGGACACUCCAAAACAUUUUCUUUUCUGGAAAGAAAGAAGAAGCGAUAACAUUGCUCUAAACAUGAAAGCCUGGUCCGACUUAAAAACUCUCAGAAACUCACAGUUGCAGCUUCAGCAACAAUCCUAAUAUUCAUGGUUUACUCUGCAGGGCCCUCCAAGUGAACGUUUUGCCAGUGAUAGGAAAGGCAACCAGAAUGUUGGGAAAGUUGUGAUGAACGCCCUAGACAAGGAGAAUGCAGGCAAGGAAGGGGCUUUCACUCAGACUGUCAGACAACAGUAUGACCAUUUAUAAAGUGGAAAGUAAUUUGAAAAUGAAUGACUUACUGCGUUAUACAUUCAGUCUUCAAAUAAAACCAUCUGUCUCUU